rnacentral:lncRNA from 1 species
AAACACCCUGUCCCACACAUUGUUAAAGGAACUUGUUUGGAAUUGAGCCUUGAUUCUGAAAAGAAAGUAUCAGAGGGCAGCAUUUGAACUGGCAUUUAAGGUGUCAACCAGGGGGAAUUUGGUGCCGACCAGUAAAAGGGGAGAAUCAAAAACAGAAGCUCCAUCACCAGGGACAGGGCCAGACUCCUGACUAGAAACUCAGUGGAUGUGCUGAAUCAUUCGGAUACUUUCCAGAAAAUUAUUUUACCUACUCAGAAGGCUGGGCAUCAGCCAAAACUGUCUGGAAAACCACAAGGAAAGACAUUUCCAUGAAGUAACUAGAGUUUUGGGCUUCUACUCUAGAGGAAUAUAAGAGGAACUUUCUUUAAAGAGUAUGCAGGUGGUUCCUUUUAAGCUCACCUGUCUGGUUUUUCAAACAGAUCAAGGGGUGAUGGCAGGGAAACGUCUCCCCUGGAAAUCUCACCCCUCCAUUUGCUAAAGAGAAGGAGCUUCAAUCCCUUGACAGGAUGAUGAAACAAUAAUAAACUGAUGUGACCAAGUCUCAUGCCAGCAGUCCUACCUGUGGCCCACCCUUCUCGUGGCCAACAAUGGCUUUUCUUAAAUAAAUAAAAAUCAAGAUUUGUACCACUCCUGCUGUAAGCUCUUCAGUGGCUCAUGGAUGAAUGAACAGGAUCACCAUUGGCACACAAGUCCCCCCACAGAUCACCUACUCAUCUUUCCACCCCAGCUUUUGCCAUUCUCUCCCCAUCCCACAAAUCCAUUGCCAUCCAAAGAUAAGAAAGAUACCAGAUAGGGCUUCCCAGUUGCAGCAGAGUGGACUGUCUUUACACUGGAGGGCUAUUCUUCCACAAAGAAGUCUUCUCCCCCGUGGGAAGGGAUUGGAGUACUUCUCCUAGGCACUAUGUGAGCAGAUGGUUGAGAAAUGAGCUAGCCCUUGAGCUUCUGCAGCAAGGGAGGGUCCCAUCAUGAGAGCAGAUGGUAUGGGAAAUGCACCAGUUUGGAAUUGGGAGGAACAAGUUUCAGGCCUGACUCAGAUACAGAUACUUGCCAUCAUCAGUAUGCCCUUGAAUGAACUAUAAAGUGUCUCUGAACCUCUGUUGUCUCCUUUGCAGUGUUGAGCCAAGGUUAUAUACCACACAGGGAUUGAGGAAGAGGAAUUAAGGCAGCGUACAUGGAAGUGGCUGGCUCAGUCAUCACUGGCUAAACGCUACUUGAAUUCCAUUCUAAAACUCCACAUAGAAAGGCAAUUUGACAAAAUUUGAUCAUCCCUUCACCCCAAUUAUCACCCCGUGAACUUUUCUUCCAUUUAUCACCCUUGGAUUUCGUAGCUCGGCACACACAGUCUUUCUCCCUCUCUCACUUCUUUCUUUCUCUCCUUUUUUCUUCUUCUGUUAAACCUAAGAAAUUCUAAUGCUGAAGAGGGUUUUCUUAAGGUGAUUCUCCUGGAAAAGAUGACUCUUUAAGCAAAAAUUCAGACUUUCUCUAGAGUGACCGAGACAUGUAGGUGGCGGUAGCAAUACAGGCUGACCUUCCAGCAUGGUCCUGGGAACCACAGGUCAGCUCUGCUGCAGAUGCCCAGACAGCGUGUCUCUUCCUGAAACAAAUCGACUUCCACAUGGCUCUUCUGAAGACUAAGAUGGCCACGUCUAUCUAAUGAACCCAUCCUGCCACCUCCAUUUGGGUCCUGGAAAUGGACCGAGCUCUUUUGUGGUUCCCUGUACAUUUCAGCGUGCAUCUUUAGCUAUGAGAGGUCAUUUGCUGCCAGUUCUGUUGGCUUUAAUGAGUCUCCUGCCUUGGACCUGGAGAGAGAAGUGGGAAAAUGUGAUUCUCAUGCCCAGGCCUGGCCUCCCUGAACUCACUUUUCCCAUUAAGCUUUGACACUGGACCAUGCCUUUGUUGGCAGAGGAGGUUUUUAUGGAUCUUAUGGGGGAUGCACAAUGGAAACUGGAAUUAAACUUGUGUUUCUCUUUUUUCUCUCUCUUUUCCUUGAUUGGGUUUUGACAGAAAUUAUUUGACUGUUUCCUUUUCACAUGGACAGAAUCGAGUAUGUUCUUUCAACGUUAUCCAAACCAUCAUGCUCAAAUGGAAAGGAAAGUUCUGUGAGGUUAAAUGGCAGAGACAUGAUGUCUACAGUAGGAACAAAGCUGCUUAGAUCCUUCCAGACGCUGUAAAUUCCCCUAACAUAAAAGACAAGAGUACAGACUCUGAGGUCAGAGGGACUCACGCCCAAAUCCCUUCCCCACCUCUCACAAGUUACUUAUUCUCUUUGAGUCCUGAUUUUCUCACUGGUCAAAUGGGAAUAAAAAUCCCCUCCUGGGCCGGGCAUGGUGGCUCACGCCUGUAAUCUCAGCACUUUGGGAGGCCGAGGCGGGUGGAUCAGGAGUUUGAGACCAGCCUGAUCAAAAUGGUGAAACCUCGUCUCUACUGAAAAUACAAAAAACUUAGCCAGGUAUGGUGGUGCACACCUGUUAUCCCAGCUACUCAGGAGACUGAGGCAAAAGAACCACUUGAACCCGGGAGGCAGAGGUUGCAG